rnacentral:rRNA from 1 species
AGAGUUUGGUUCUGGCUCUGACUUUAGCUUUAACUACAAAAAAUACAUGGUUCUUUAGGGGGUUGGUGAGUAGUAAACUAUGGGGGUGUGAAAAAUUUAAGAUUUAUUUUAUCAGCCUAGUUUGGCAUAAAUUUUUGUAUGACGUCUAGAGUAUUUCACUUGAUUACACCAGUAUUGAGGAUUAAAGUAGAUGAGUGAAAGCUUGAUUUAGUGAUUGUUAAGAGGCCUGGUAAAAUCUGUGCCAGCUACCGCGGUUAUACGGGUAGGCCUAGUUAAUGGUUUCGGUGAAAAUGUGGUUAGGGGAUAUUAGUUAGGGGCUUAGGAGAGUUGCUUUUGUGGGUAGAAUCUAGAUAAGCUACUUGAUUUUAUUUAAGCCCGUGAAAUUUGAGGCCACGAAGUUUUCGGUAGAAACCGGGAUUAGAUACCCCGUUAUUCGAAAAUGUAAAUAUUGGUAUGUGCUUACCUGGGUAGUACGAGUUCAUGCUUAAAACCCAAAGAACUUGGCGGUGUCUUAAAUCUUUUUAGGNNNNNNNNNNNNNNNNNNNNNNNNCCGCGGGUUACCUUACUUUUUUUUGUAUAGUCAGCUUGUAUACCGUCGUCGUCAGGUUACUUUUUGAAAAUCUUGAAGUUAGCUAGUAGGUUUUUAAUUUUGUGAUUAUUGUCCUUUACGUCAGAUCAAGGUGCAGCUAAUGGAAGAGUAGAGAUGAAUUACAGUAAAUUAGUUUUUAUACGGAGUUUUUUUUGAAAGUAGAGAAAUGAAGGUGGACUUAAAAGUAAAUGUGGUAUUAGAAAGAUUUAUUGAAUUUAGUUCUAAGACGUGCACACAUCGCCCGUCGCUCUCGUUGAAAAAUGAGAUAAGUCGUAACAUA